CAGUCACGACGCACGGGGAUUGGUGUACCUCGUAUUGUGGAACAACCAGUUGACGAGAAACUGCGCGCCGCAUCUAACCAAAGUAUUGAGUUCAUCGUCCACCCUCUGCGUUCUCAACGUGGGCCGGAACGCGAUAGGAUCCGAAGGGAUCCGGGCCCUGACCGGCGGAGCCCUAAUGUCCUUGGGGCUGCAGGCGGCCCGGCUCAUGGCUGAUGCUGCGGCGGCGUUGGCCGAGUUGGUGCGGGUCACUACUGUGCAGAGGCUGGAUUUACGGGAGAAUCGUUUAGGAUGCGCCGGGCUCCAAGCUAUAGCGAACGCUAUGCAGAACAACACCAGCAUCACGCAGAUUGAUC
rnacentral:lncRNA from 1 species